rnacentral:rRNA from 1 species
UACGUAGGGGGCAAGCGUUGUCCGGAUUUAUUGGGCGUAAAGAGCGUGUAGGCGGCUCGGUAAGUCUGCUCUGAAAGCCCGGGGCUCAACCCUGGGAGGCGGGUGGAUACUGCUGAGCUCGAGUCCGGAAGAGGCGAGUGGAAUUCCUGGUGUAGCGGUGAAAUGCGCAGAUAUCAGGAGGAACACCAAUGGCGAAGGCAGCUCGCUGGGACGGUACUGACGCUGAGACGCGAAAGCUAGGGGAGCAAACGGG